rnacentral:rRNA from 1 species
UACGUAGGGUGCAAGCGUUGCCCGGAUUUAUUGGGCGUAAAGAGCGUGUAGGCGGCCAGACAGGUCCGUUGUGAAAACUCGAGGCUCAACCUCGAGAUGUCGAUGGAAACCGUCUGGCUAGAGUCCGGAAGAGGAGUGUGGAAUUCCUGGUGUAGCGGUGAAAUGCGCAGAUAUCAGGAAGAACACCUAUGGCGAAGGCAGCACUCUGGGACGGUACUGACGCUGAGACGCGAAAGCGUGGGGAGCGAACAGG